rnacentral:rRNA from 1 species
AGGGUUCGAUUCUGGCUCAGGAUGAACGCUGGCGGCGUGCUUAACACAUGCAAGUCGAACGGGAUCCAUCAGGCUUUGCUUGGUGGUGAGAGUGGCGAACGGGUGAGUAAUGCGUGACCGACCUGCCCCAUACACCGGAAUAGCUCCUGGAAACGGGUGGUAAUGCCGGAUGCUCCGACUCCUCGCAUGGGGUGUCGGGAAAGAUUUCAUCGGUAUGGGAUGGGGUCGCGUCCUAUCAGGUAGUCGGCGGGGUAACGGCCCACCGAGCCUACGACGGGUAGCCGGCCUGAGAGGGCGACCGGCCACAUUGGGACUGAGAUACGGCCCAGACUCCUACGGGAGGCAGCAGUGGGGAAUAUUGCACAAUGGGCGCAAGCCUGAUGCAGCGACGCCGCGUGCGGGAUGACGGCCUUCGGGUUGUAAACCGCUUUUGAUCGGGAGCAAGCCUUCGGGUGAGUGUACCUUUCGAAUAAGCACCGGCUAACUACGUGCCAGCAGCCGCGGUAAUACGUAGGGUGCAAGCGUUAUCCGGAAUUAUUGGGCGUAAAGGGCUCGUAGGCGGUUCGUCGCGUCCGGUGUGAAAGUCCAUCGCUUAACGGUGGAUCUGCGCCGGGUACGGGCGGGCUGGAGUGCGGUAGGGGAGACUGGAAUUCCCGGUGUAACGGUGGAAUGUGUAGAUAUCGGGAAGAACACCAAUGGCGAAGGCAGGUCUCUGGGCCGUUACUGACGCUGAGGAGCGAAAGCGUGGGGAGCGAACAGGAUUAGAUACCCUGGUAGUCCACGCCGUAAACGAUGAGUGCUAGGUGUUGGCCAGAGAUGGUCGGUGCCGCAGCAAACGCAAUAAGCACUCCACCUGGGGAGUACGACCGCAAGGUUGAAACUCAAAGGAAUUGACGGGGACCCGCACAAGCGGUGGAGCAUGUGGUUUAAUUCGAAGCAACGCGAAGAACCUUACCAAGUCUUGACAUCCCUCUGACCGACUCUUAACCGAGUCUUUCCUUCGGGACAGAGGAGACAGGUGGUGCAUGGUUGUCGUCAGCUCGUGUCGUGAGAUGUUGGGUUAAGUCCCGCAACGAGCGCAACCCUCGCCCUGUGUUGCCAGCACGUCAUGGUGGGAACUCACGGGGGACCGCCGGGGUCAACUCGGAGGAAGGUGGGGAUGACGUCAGAUCAUCAUGCCCCUUACGUCCAGGGCUUCACGCAUGCUACAAUGGCCGGUACAACGGGAUGCGACACGGCGACGUGGAGCGGAUCCCUGAAAACCGGUCUCAGUUCGGAUUGGAGUCUGCAACCCGACUCCAUGAAGGCGGAGUCGCUAGUAAUCGCGGAUCAGCAACGCCGCGGUGAAUGCGUUCCCGGGCCUUGUACACACCGCCCGUCAAGUCAUGAAAGUGGGUAGCACCCGAAGCCGGUGGCCUAACCCUUUGUGGAUGGAGCCGUCUAAGGUGAGACUCGUGAUUGGGACUAAGUCGUAACAAGGUAGCCGUACCGGAAGGUGCGGCUG